rnacentral:rRNA from 1 species
GACGAACGCUGGCGGCGUGCUUAACACAUGCAAGUCGAACGGAAAGGCCCCUUUGGGGGUACUCGAGUGGCGAACGGGUGAGUAACACGUGAGUAACCUGCCCUUGACUUCGGGAUAACUUCAGGAAACUGGGGCUAAUACCGGAUAGGAAUCCUUGCUGCAUGGUGGGGGUUGGAAAGCUUCGGCGGUUUUGGAUGGACUCGCGGCUUAUCAGCUUGUUGGUGGGGUAGUGGCUUACCAAGGCUUUGACGGGUAGCCGGCCUGAGAGGGCGACCGGCCACAUUGGGACUGAGAUACGGCCCAGACCCCCAGGGGGGGGAGGAGGGGGGAAUUUUGCCAAAGGGGCGGAAGCCUGAUGCAGAAACGCCGGGUGCGGGUUGAGGGCCUUCGGGUUGUAAACCGCUUUCAGGGGGGGCGAAGCUUUUGUGGCGGUACCUGCAGAAGAAGCCCCGGCUACCUCCGU